AUGGAUGGCAGCCCGUGCAUGAUUUGAGCAAAUCAGGACUCUGACCUUUGUUUUCUCUGGAAGAAAAAGACAUAUGUGGACUCUACUUCAGAGCAGUUCAGGUUCAUUCCGCGCAUGUGCCCCUGCCAUAACCUGAGAUGCAGCUAGAGCUUGCAUGAGAAAGCCCGUUAUAAGACUAAGCAACCAGAAAUUCGGAAGCUGUUUGGGUCAGCUGAUGAGC